AAGAUUUCUAGGUUGAACAAAUUUUGAGUUCACAUCUACUUGAUUCGAACUCCAAUAGAUUUUCGAAAUGCUUGAGUUAGAGCUUCAGUUUUGCUCAUUUCAAGGCUGUAGAUUUCCGAUCCGGCCAUGGAUGUGAAAGAUUCAAAGACAAUGUUAACCUGUUCCUGGCUGUCCAGCAAUCAAUACUGCUCUCCCCGCAAUUUUUCCUUCUCUAAUCAUUUCCAGUACCACACCAGCAGCUCGUCGUGCUGUCAACUGGCCAACCAUGCCUUGGGACACCUAACAAUCAUUUUGAUAUGUAACUUGUACGAUUCUUUUAUUCAAAUUAUUCAAAAGUACUUCUCUUGGUUCCAAAGCAUCAUCAAGUCCAAGACCUCGAAUGUGAGAGUGAGUACCGAUUCGUUCAAUUCGAGAGAAUUCUCGCACUUCUGCUACUUUAACUGA